UCGUGGAGUGAUUUGUCUGGUUAAUUCCGAUAACGAACGAGAUCUUAACCUGCUAAAUAGUUUGACAAACUUUGGUUUGUUUUUUGACUUCUUAGAGGGACUAUUGAUGUUUAAUCAAUGGAAGUUUGAGGCAAUAACA
rnacentral:rRNA from 1 species